rnacentral:misc_RNA from 1 species
UCCGGUUUGUCACCGGCAGUCUCCUAUGAGUCCCCGACAUUACUCGCUGGCAACAUAGGACAGGGGUUGCGCUCGUUGUGGGACUUAACCCAACAUCUCACGACACGAGCUGACGACAACCAUGCACCACCUGUGCACGGCCCUUGCGGACCUCCCAUCUCCGGGAGAUUUCCGUGCAUGUCAAGCCUAGGUAAGGUUCUUCGCGUUGCGUCGAAUUAAACCACAUGCUCCGCUGCUUGUGCGGGCCCCCGUCAAUUCCUUUGAGUUUUAGCCUUGCGGCCGUACUCCCCAGGCGGGGUGCUUAAUGCGUUAGCUUCGGCACGGACGGAGUCGACACCGCCCACACCUAGCACCCAUCGUUUACGGCGUGGACUAC